rnacentral:rRNA from 1 species
GCUCAAAUUUGAAAUCUUCAAGGGUUUCCCUUUACGAAUUGUAGUUUAAAGAAGUGUUUUCUGUUGAGGUUUUGGUAAAAGUUCUUUGGAAUAGGACAUCAUAGAGGGUGAGAAUCCCGUAUUUGACCUUUACUUUCAACUUUGUGAUACACUUUCAAAGAGUCGGAUUGUUUGGGAAUGCAGUCCAAAAUGGGUGGUAAAUUUCAUAUAAAGCUAAAUAUUGGCGAGAGACCGAUAGCGAACAAGUACCGUGAGGGAAAGAUGAAAAGAACUUUGAAAAGAGAGUUAAACAGUACGUGAAAUUGUCAAAAGGGAAGCGUUUGACACCAGUGUUGUUUUUCUGAAAAUCAAUUAAAGAACUGUUUAUGCUAAGCUGUUUAGACUUAUCAGCUAUCUGUUUAGUUUUGAGCUUUUCUUUAAUGCACUUUUUAGUUAACAAG